rnacentral:rRNA from 1 species
GCAUAUCAAUAAGCGGAGGAAAAGAAAACAACCGUGAUACCCUUAGUAAUUNNNNNAUGAAACGGGUAGAGCCCAGCACCGAACCGCCGGCCAUCUCGGUCGCGUGGAAUGUGGUGUUUGGGAAAGCCUCAUCGCAGUGAGCCGAAGCGUUCAAGUACACCUUGACUGGGACCACGGCCCGUAGAGGGUGAUAGGCCCGUGAGACCUUUGGCUUGCUGCGCUGGCUUUUCCCUAGAGUCGAGUUGUUUGGGAGUACAGCUCAAAGCGCGUGGUAAACUCCACGUAAGGCUAAAUAUGACCCCGAGACCGAUAGCGAACAAGUACCGUGAGGGAAAGUUGAAAAGCACUUUGAAGAGAGAGUUCAAGAGUACGUGAAACCGCUUAGUAGUAAACAGAGGGACUCUCGAAGUCGGCGGUGACGGUUCAGGGUGACGGCGGGGCGGCCUGGGGGCGUGGGAUCCGCAAGGACCCUGUCCCUUUGUCAGCUCUGUCGGCGCCUGCACUUCGUUGCCGCCAUACGCGAUGAACCGUUUCUGGCGGACCGAGGGCGUGGGUGAAGUUUGUUGGCCUCGGCUUUCAAGCCCCGCGUUCCUGGCUCUGUCGGGGACGGGUAGUAGAGCGAUCUCUUAUAGAGAGUGCCCUUGCUGGCACGGUUCGCUUNNCUAUCGCGAGUAGGUCGGCGGUCCCUCUGACCCGUCUUGAAACAC